GAUCAUGGCUCAGAUUGAACGCUGGCGGCAGGCUUAACACAUGCAAGUCGAGCGGUAGCACAGAGAGCUUGCUCUCGGGUGACGAGCGGCGGACGGGUGAGUAAUGUCUGGGAAACUGCCUGAUGGAGGGGGAUAACUACUGGAAACGGUAGCUAAUACCGCAUAACGUCGCAAGACCAAAGUGGGGGACCUUCGGGCCUCAUGCCAUCAGAUGUGCCCAGAUGGGAUUAGCUAGUAGGUGGGGUAACGGCUCACCUAGGCGACGAUCCCUAGCUGGUCUGAGAGGAUGACCAGCCACACUGGAACUGAGACACGGUCCAGACUCCUACGGGAGGCAGCAGUGGGGAAUAUUGCACAAUGGGCGCAAGCCUGAUGCAGCCAUGCCGCGUGUAUGAAGAAGGCCUUCGGGUUGUAAAGUACUUUCAGCGGGGAGGAAGGCGAUAAGGUUAAUAACCUUGUCGAUUGACGUUACCCGCAGAAGAAGCACCGGCUAACUCCGUGCCAGCAGCCGCGGUAAUACGGAGGGUGCAAGCGUUAAUCGGAAUUACUGGGCGUAAAGCGCACGCAGGCGGUCUGUCAAGUCGGAUGUGAAAUCCCCGGGCUCAACCUGGGAACUGCAUUCGAAACUGGCAGGCUAGAGUCUUGUAGAUGGGGGUAGAAUUCCAGGUGUAGCGGUGAAAUGCGUAGAGA
rnacentral:rRNA from 1 species